rnacentral:misc_RNA from 1 species
GAAAUGCGAUAAGUAAUGUGAAUUGCAGAAUUCAGUGAAUCAUCGAAUCUUUGAACGCACAUUGCGCCCGCCAGUAUUCUGGCGGGCAUGCCUGUUCGAGCGUCAUUUCAACCAUCAAGCCCCCGGCUUGUGUUGGGGACCUGCGGCUGCCCGCAGGCCCUGAAAAACAGUGGCGGGCUCGCUGUCACACCGAGCGUAGUAGCAUACAUUCUCGCUCAGGGCGUGCUGCGGGUUCCGGCCGUUAAACGACCUUCAUAACCCAAGGUUGACCUCGGAUCAGGUAGGAAGACCCGCUGAGCUUAAGC